rnacentral:rRNA from 1 species
UACGUAGGGCGCGAGCGUUGUCCGGAAUUAUUGGGCGUAAAGAGCUCGUAGGCGGCCUGUCGCGUCCGCUGUGAAAACCCGGGGCUUAACCCCGAGCCUGCAGUGGAUACGGGCAGACUAGAGGUAGGUAGGGGAGAAUGGAAUUCCCGGUGUAGCGGUGAAAUGCGCAGAUAUCGGGAGGAACACCGGUGGCGAAGGCGGUUCUCUGGGCCUUACCUGACGCUGAGGAGCGAAAGCGUGGGGAGCGAACAGG